rnacentral:hammerhead_ribozyme from 1 species
GCACUGCUGAGGAGUCCCAUACUGGAACGAAACGGUCAUCCGGUGCUUCCAGGUCUUCAAUGGUGGUCUAGCUUACAUAGACUCAUGAAUUCAACCACUAAAAUUUUUACAGUCUCCACAGACCAUCACUCUGAUUAUUUAAAUUGAUCAAGGGAUCAGGAUGUAUGAAAGAGACUGAUAUAUUUAUCCUUACCUUGUUAUGUUCUUAAUUUUUAUCAAUAUCACGUGCUGUUAAUAUUAUAAUUUCAAUAGUUGGGAUCACUAGUCAAUUGAAGCUAGACAACCAAGGAAAACCUGGAAGCGCUGGACGGGGCUUGAACCCAGAACUUAUCAGUCUUGCGCCAGGUGCUUAACCUCUAGACCACAGAGCCGGUAUCCAACGGUGUUAAUGUCUAACUUCAACUAAUCCACGAAAUUGAGCGACACAUCCACCAUUGUCAUCAGUGAGUUACUACCUCACAACUGACCUGUUUGAACACAAUAGGACGAAACGGCCGUCCAGUGC